CCGAGGCGGCGGCCCGGCCCUGCUGGUAGCGCUGCACGAUGGCCUCCAGCAGCCGGUUGCGUUGGAAGCCUCGCAGGCCGCGGUGGUCGAGCGAGGCGCUGCGAUGGCAUUGCGGGCAGUGGCCGCCUCCACUUCCUCCUCCUCCACCACCACCUCCUCCUGCUGUUCUUGCCGCUGGAAAGAUGUCGGAGUGGAAUCAGAUUUCAGCACCACGGCAGGGGUGGACAGCUCCUUGCUGCGUUGACGCUGCUGAGUUCAGCACCACGGCGGGGACCGAGAGCUUUUCCAGCUGUGUUGCUCUCGCUCGGUUCAGCACCGGCAAGGAGAUGGACAGCGCCUGUCGGCUGAGUUCAGCAGCACUGCUGUGGUGGUCCGACUCCUCUUGGUGUGCAGCUGCUGAAUUCUGCACUUACAGUGGGGUUGGACGGCAAUUGGAGGAGGGGAGGGGGUGCUUUUCCAGGCUCUGCAGUUGCUGCCGCAGCGGGACUGACCUUGCCUAGUAGCAGCCAAAGGGAUGGAAGACGGCUAUUGUUUAUUGCAAAGGAAUUUCCUUGCCCAUGAUCCGUGCAGUUAGUGCAGUAGUCCGUUUGCUUGGAUUUCUGUUGCAUAGAGUACAGGAGAGAGGGGAGGAAAAAGAACCGUAAAAGGGGGCGGGAAUAGUCUUUUCAGCAAAUAGGUGAUCACUUGCUAUGUGACUGAGAGCAGAGAAAGGGUUUUAUUUAAAGGGAGAUGUCUUCAUACAUUUUAAAUCCAUUAUUUAUAGACAGGAUUGAACAUGGUGGGGGUUUUCUUUAUCUCUAAUAGCUUUCUUCCCCCCAGAGGAGAGAAGGGAGUGUUCAAAAUGAGAACACUUGAAAGAAGAGAACAAGCCCCAAAUAUGUUUUUCUUUCCACAUUCCUUAUGAAGCUGGAGCACAAAUUCGAACCACAAAAUGUCAGACACUGUUAGCUAGAAGAAUAAAAGAGGGGAUUGUUAUUCUUCCUGUUAUGGACAGUACACACGGUGAAUCGUGACUGUACACAAGAGAAAGAAGAUGAGAGUAGAGUGCACCACAUCACCAGGAAACAAAUCCAAAUUUGCUUCAAAAAUAAAUCAGAGUUGACAGCUGAGUGUUUUGUGAGUUGGAAGUAACCAUCAUUACAAGAAAGCACUAGCAGUGGGAAAUCCCCAUCUGUUUUCCCUUUGCUCUACAUAUGUUUAGAAUGGAUGGAAGGAUGGACUGUUAAAAGAUAACAGAGAUUAUAAAGAGCCAUUAUUUUCUGACUUUGUACAGAUCACAGUGGUUUUGAAACCCAGGCAUUAAUGGUGUAGAAAAUAGGUUGUUCCAGAACCUUAUUAAUAAUAAAAUCAGCAUUCUCCUUUGA